rnacentral:lncRNA from 1 species
GGUGCAAGCUUGCUUCGAACUCGGAAACGCUGAACUUUCUUCAUUGGCGUGACCUUGAGGUACACAUAGUCACCUACUUUGAAUUCAAGUGGCCUUCUUCUCUUAUCAGCAUAACUCUUUUGUCGUGAUUGCGCUGCAUGCAUAUGCUGCUGUAUGAUUUGCACCUUCUUCUCGGCCUCAUUCACGAAGUCAAUACCGUAGUAUCUCCUUUCCCCAGGUUCAACCCAGUUUAACGGAGUUCUACACCUCCGACCAUACAGAGCUUCGAACGGGGCCAUCUUGAUGCUCUCUUGAUAACUGUUAUUGUAGGAGAAUUCAGCCAG